UGCCCAAUGGUGUAAUGGCAGCACUUCUGACUCUGGAUCAGCCAGUCUAGGUUCGAAUCCUGGUUGGGCAA
rnacentral:tRNA from 1 species